rnacentral:rRNA from 1 species
AUACGUAGGUGGCAAGCGUUGUCCGGAUUUAUUGGGCGUAAAGCGAGCGCAGGCGGUUUUUAAGUCUGAUGUGAAAGCCUUCGGCUUAACCGGAGAAGUGCAUACGGAAACUGGGAGACUUGAGUGCAGAAGAGGACAGUGGAACUCCAUGUGUAGCGGUGGAAUGCGUAGAUAUAUGGAAGAACACCAGUGGCGAAGGCGGCUGUCUAGUCUGUAACCGACGCUGAGGCUCGAAAGCAUGGGUAGC